AUGUUCUCUCUUAAAGGGACUGCCGAUGACUUGUUGGCCUGUUGAAGGAAUAUUGUAUUUCCCCACUUACCUACCCGGCAACGUGCAUUUCUUCCCCCAGAAUGAUGCAACUGCUGCCUGAAGUUUAUCGACUAAAAACAUUUGUUGAGCUGCAAGAAAAAGCACCAGGCAAGAUUCGGCAAGAGCCGAACAAUCACAGAAUCGCAAAGUCGUGGAGUCGGAAGGGGCCUCAGCAGGCCACCGAGCCCAACCCCUCUGCUCAGGGCAGGAAUCAAAGGUUCUCCGCCAGGUCCUUGUCUAAAUUUCCCUUGCCGUGUGACUUUCUCCCCAAAAGCCGCCUCGGGGCCCUCUUCUAACCAAAACCUCGUGACUCAGCCUUGAAGAAACGAGACUCCUUGUUCGUCGGAACGAACAAGCGCUCCGGCGGGGGAAAGGCCGGGGAAGCCCCAUUCGGGGACACUGCGGUUCCAUCCCCCCGAAAAACUCCGCCCGGACUUGCUUUGGGGGCCACUUCUCUUCCCCCUCCCCCCGCGCCCUUUCCCGCGCUUUCUGAGCGGCGUCUUCGGUUUCCUUUUCUUCCCCACCCCUCCCGGGGGGGGAGGAGUCCUCCGCAGCCUUUCCCGCCUCUCCGACGCAUCUCGCCAGGCAUUCCCCGCGCUCGCGGCUCCCGCGUACCUGCGCGCGCACAGAGGCAGGCCGCGCCCUCGGCUGCGCAGGCAGGGCCCGCCGUCUGACGUCACCCGGGAUUCCCUGGCUGGCCCGGCCUCUGGCUGACUCACGCCGCCUGGGAGCCGCGCGGGCCGGGAGGCGCCUUAUAAAGACUGCCUCCCGGCCACUCUUCUCAGAACUGGGAGUGAGCGAGCGGUUCUUGCUUGAGGAUUUGGACUGGCGGAUGAUGGGAAAGUUGCGAGGCUCUGUCAUGCCCACGGAUCCUCUGAGCAACGCGGGAUUGCUGUGCCAGGCGUGCGGAUUCCUCCUGAUCGUCCCGCAACAGGCCGAGUGCGGGCAUCGCUACUGCGGGGUCUGUGUGAAAGGGCUUUUCAGGGAUACAGACAAUAGGGCAUGCUGUACUCUGAGUCUUUUUUUUAAGACUCAGAACGCAACAGGUGAGUUGUGAAAAAAUAUUCUUGAGCCUGAAUGGAUGUGAUAUCUUAAACAGGGACUGACUUUAUGUUUAAGUCCACUGCCCACGGUCCCUACAAUAGCUAGGAUGACGUGUCAAUGUAUUGACGUUAUGUCAAAGCUCUGUGUGACCAUUUGAAUUUGCAAAGGCUUUAGUGUGGUUUAAAGUAAGAUUUCGAAGAGAAGGCAUGCAACACAAAACAGCAAAUAUUCUGAUGGAGAAGAUGGGGAUCAGAUGUUAGAAUAUUAAACAUGUUGAAUCUUUCUUGUUGUCCUCAGUUCCAUAAUGACAAAGCCGCGGAGAACGAGUCACAAGGCUUGUUUUGACUGCACUUGGACGGGAACCCUCAAAUCAUACCAGGUAAGCUGCGUGAAGACUGUCUCUCCCCACCUCCCGCCUUGCGCCACACAUGCCAGCUAGGGUGAAAGUGGUUAGAGCCAUGUUUCCUGGCUGGCUCGUAGCAUUCAACACAUGUGCCUGCAAACACCUGAGAUUCAAAAGCCUUAUAUAAGACUUUGUAGCUGAGAGAAAAAGUAACACAUCUGGUUCAACUGUUUCAGUAUCAUGUGCUGGGCUCUGUGUUUCCCUUCAGAUUCAGAAUUCGAGUUACUAGUCAGAGUUUCCUUUGUGUGUUUUUUUUUAAUUGUCUUUCUUGUGCUUUGGUAAUCCUUAGUAUUAAUCUGUGCAGGCUGAGGCUUUCCCUCAUUUCACAGGGGUCUGCCUUUUGGCCCUUCUCUUGUUGACAGCCUCCACAAGAUUUAACUAUUAGAAGGAGUGAUGUGAGUUAUAGCGAUUAAUUAGGAUUAGUUGCUCUGGGACGGUGGUCCAAAGGCAGGAUAGAAAGUUAAUUGAAUGAUAAUAGUAAUUAUAUAAUUGGGAAAUCUAAAAUAGCAAUUGAGCAAUUGAGUAAAAUUUUCGAUGAGUUUUUGCCCUUCCAUCUUCAUAAGCAAAGUCGGUUAUUUAAAAAAAUAAAGAAUAGAAAACAAAGGAAGGUGAAAAUUCA
rnacentral:lncRNA from 1 species